UAAGACGGUCUUACAUGAGACUUGCCCUUUCUAUAUAUAUUAUUCUAACUUGUUCCCGAAUCUCAUAGCUUAGUUAGUUGCACACCACUGCAUACUUACAAAACUAUCCUUGAUAAUUGUUCAAGCAAAGACCAAUGGAGAAGAUAUCAGCAACCCUCUGCGGUUUUCACUUGGCUAAACCCCCUGAUGUUGAAAAACCACAUCACGAUAUCAAAACAGCCGAAGAAAAAAGACACAAAGAUCUGUUUGAUGCUACCAUAAAGGGCAACUGGACAAGAGCUGAAAAAAUUCUGAAAGAACAUCCAGAGUGCGCUACUCAUAGCAUCACGAUAAGAAACGAAACAGUUGUUCACAUUGCAGCCGCCGGAAAAAACAAAGAAUUUGUGGGGAAGCUAGUGAAGAUUCUGAAGAAGAGGGGAGACGACGAAAGCGGGUGCAUAUUGGCACAGCAAAAUACGUUAGGGUGUUCUGCGUUCUAUCUUGCGGUUCUAUCAGGAGUUGUGGAGAACGCGGAGGUUAUGGUUGAGAAGAACAAAGAGCUGCCAACUAUCCGGUCUAAGGAUAAAUCAUCAGAUGAUAUUGGGAAGCUCCCUAUCAAUCAUGCAGCUCUGAGAGGGCAUAAGAAAAUGGUUGCUUAUCUCUUUCAAAAAACACCUUUUGAGAUGUUGUUGGAGGCGGAUCGCAUUCAGCUUCUUCAAGCUACCAUUCGCUACGAUAUGUAUGUGUAGAUACCGCAUUACAAAUCGUAGACCAGGAUCCACUAUUAGCCACUAAAGAAUAUGAUACUCAAAGAACCGAACAUUCUUGCAUCUGUUAGCUCGAAAGGCUCUAGCAGAAAGAACCUGGCAAAGAUUUCUGGGCUCAAUUUGUGCUGUGAUCUCUCCACGUUUGUGGGAUACCAUUCAAGAAAAAACAUUAGCAAGGCGGCUACUUAAAAUGAUCUGGGCUGAGUAUCUUAAAUUAGCAGAGGAAACGCUGGCGGGGAAAAUAAAAAAGGCAGAGAUUCUUCAUUAUGCUGCAAAAGAAGGGAAUGUUGAGUUUCUAAUCAUGAUUCUUAACAGCAAACCGGAUCUUUUGUGGGAAUUCAACAGUAAAGAGCAGAACAUUAAUUUUCCAUAUUGUAGUAUUACAUCGACAGAAAGAAGUUUUUGAUUUGGUCUACAGAUUUGGACCCUUUAAAGACUUGAUCUCUGUCCAACAAGAUAAUCAACGAAACAACAUUCUACAUUCAACUGCGAAAUUAAGGACUAGCCGUAUCAGCAGAGUGAGCUUUAAAGUGGAAAAUGGUUCGGAGAUAAAUAACAAGAGAUUGGAGGCAAAGGAUGGAAAACUUAGAAGGAAAUAUGGAAUGAAUGGAUGAGAUGAGAGCUUGGGAACCUUACUGUGAUUUCUUCCUCCUUCUACAGAGCUCAAAGAGUGGAGUGGCAAAUGAAAGGGAUCAGGAGAAAACAUAGGGCUACUGUUCUAUUUAAAUGGGUGCAAAACCCCAGGUUGAUUUCAAAUGAUUGGUUGAGGGAAAAUGAGUAAUUUUUGCUUGCUUCUAUAAAGAUCAGACAAAGUUUUGUAGAAAUAUUUAAGUUCACCUUGCAUCAUGGAUUAAAGUCUCAAAAAUAAU